CUAGCCUCCAGGUCUUGUGUGAGGAUGAUUUAAUUGGACAACGGGCAUCGAUAGUGUACGAAUCCAACUUGAAACAGCUGGUUACGUUUCUAAGGCUACCUUUUGUGAAGUGCAAUUUCACAAACAAUGUGACACAUCAGGCUUGCCAGGCUUCAGCACCAUUUGAAGUAAAUGUGACUUCAAGAGGCACAGGAACAAUCAUUGAAUGGAUAUGUUCCAAUGGUCACCAUAUAUGGAGGUGGAACUCACGGCCCACACUAAAAUACGGGAUGCAGGCAGGGGACUUUAUGAUGGCUACUAACAUCCUCCUGUCUGGGAAUAACUAUUAUAAAGUGUCCCACCUGUUCAAUUACAUGAACAUGGGCUUUGUGGGAAGGACUCUUUCUUUAACAUUCAAGACACCUACUGCCUAGGAGCAAUCAAGGAAUUCUGGGAGGAAAAGAGAUCUACAGCUAUCAAACGUCUGCAGAAUAAAGAUGGUGUUGUUGUGCUAGCAGAUGGAAGAAUGGACAGUCCAGGACACUGAAGAAAUAUGUACGGAUGCUCACACUCAGAUUGCUUCUCUUAUGAAUCCUAGAUCUGGCAGAUACAAGGACUCUGGAGUACUUCACUCAUGGGAUAUGUGGCAUGGAGCAAAGAAUCUUGCCAAGAAGAUCACUGCAGCAGGACAGCUGUCAGGACAAAAGGUCCUGCUGCAGUGGACAAAAGACAUUGUUAACCACUUCUGGUACUGUUGUAAGACAGCAGAGACGGAAGUGCAA